rnacentral:misc_RNA from 1 species
AUUUGGCAUAAAAUUAACCUUGUUAGGGUUUUUCUUGGGACUUAAUGCUUUAUUUAUGUGGAUACCACCAAAAACAUAUUGGUAGAACAGAAAACUUGGUAUUAGAUGGUCAGGACUCGAGCUACAAUUAAAUAAUUGAUUCCAGGGGCAUGUUUGUGAUUGCGACAAUUAAAUAAAAGUAUGCCAACUGCUUAACUUGAUGCUCGCCUUGUUUGGUCUUGCUUUGGUCAUGAAAAGUUUUUUACCAAAAAUUUUGCUCUUGAUUCCGGAGACUUAUUCCACCUGCUGUAAAUAGCUCAUUCUUUUGGUUGUGUGGCUUCAAGGAACUUGAUUGGUCUAUGCAUGGAGAUCUUUGAUGCGUCUUUGUUUUUUUCAAUGUUUACAAUGCCAUGUCAAACUUUGGUUUUGGAGUCUGAAGAAUUCUUUCAACAAUCUUUUCUUCUUGAAUAACAUCAGUGCUGCUUUUAUUAGGUUGAAAAUUUCCCCAACUUUUUAGAGUAGAAAUCUCUUUAACAUUUUCAUUUUCUUUCAGCAUCAGGUUAUUGAAUUGUUUCCAAUCUUUACGGACACUGCUUUCUUGAAGAUUUGAAAUUUCUUUUGCAAGAUUUCCUAUGCCUCUCCAGCUUUAACACCAAAGGUUCUAGGAUAAAUAGGUAAGUUGACAGUUUGUGGAAUAAGCUAUUGGUAGUUGCAUCAGUUGUUAUAUAAGGUUAUAAUGCAAGUGAAGCGAUCCUAUGAUUAGAUUGCCAACAAAAGUUUGUAUAAACCUUAAUGUGACAUUAGAAAAUAUGACUGAUGGAGUUCAGUUUGGUGCUUCUAAACCUCAAUUGUUAAGUAGUUUAUCAAGUGCAAAGGCCUACUUG